UUGAUUGAUCCAAAGUCCUGAAACCCUAUCAGUAUUGUCUCUGCUGUCCACUUUGAGUAGUGCAAUGUUGCUUUUAGGGUUUCAGUGUUUUGGUUAA
rnacentral:pre_miRNA from 1 species